CCUGUGUGCAGCCGACCGCCCUGUGUUCGUUUGGGCAGCGGCCUAGCUGGGGACACCUAUUUGGAGCUGAGGUUUCUCCCUGGGAAGCAGAGGAACUUUGUUGGAAAAGAACAGAUUGCCCCCUGCAGCGGCAAACGUACUAGUGGCAAAGUGAGAAGUCAGCGGGUCUCCAACACAGCCCUGGAGGCCGCGGACUCUGUGGAACCCUCCAGGGCCGGACACGGUCAGAGCCCUCCACCCGCACACCGCGGCCCAUGGGGAGGCCUGUUUAAAUGCAAGGCUGUGAAUAAAACCAAUUUCCUGAAA